UACGUAGGGGGCUAGCGUUAUCCGGAAUUACUGGGCGUAAAGGGUGCGUAGGUGGUUUCUUAAGUCAGAGGUGAAAGGCUACGGCUCAACCGUAGUAAGCCUUUGAAACUGGGAAACUUGAGUGCAGGAGAGGAGAGUGGAAUUCCUAGUGUAGCGGUGAAAUGCGUAGAUAUUAGGAGGAACGCCAGUUGCGAAGGCGGCUCUCUGGACUGUAACUGACACUGAGGCACGAAAGCGUGGGGAGCAAACAGG
rnacentral:rRNA from 1 species